ACAGUUUACUUACUACUGUACAUAGUGCACACUUACAUCAAGUCCUGCCCUUAAGGAGCUUGCAAUCUAAAGUCCCUAUCUCACUUCCAUAAAUACAGGGCCAAUUUA